rnacentral:lncRNA from 1 species
CUCUCCCAUCUCCACCCAUCAAUGGAGAACAACCUCGUUAGCUGCCGCGUCGCUCUUCCUUAACUAGUUACUCUUCCUCUUCCACAUCUCCAUCCAUCUAUCGCCGCAGCUUCCAACCUCUGCCCGCCGCCGGCGACCCUGCAUGCGCGGAUGUCAGUGACCGGCCGGCCUCGUCUUCUUCCUUCUUGCUGCUGCCUCCGUGCGCUCUGGCACUGACGGACGUGUGCUUGUGCGUGUGUGUGUGUAGGAGCGAGACGGCGAACGAGCUGGCGGAGCUGCUCUGGGACAACGGCCCUGCGCUCAGGAGGCCGCCGCACCCGUUCCCGCCCUUCGCCUNNN